rnacentral:lncRNA from 10 species
UUGAUUAUUGACAUUAAAUUGAAUGUUUAAUAUGAGAAAUCAUAGAAUAUACCAGGUUAUUUGAGUAACUCAAUCUUGAUAGAUAACUCCAUGACCGAAGAGGGGCUAAAAUUCUUUUGUAUACUUCUGGAAAGCUAAGGAUUUGUAGCAGACAGACUGCUAAAAUUGUCAUGAAUGAUCUUUACGUCCUGGUAUUCUUUCCCUUGUGUAAUUCCAUACCCUUGAGUGUGGGCUGGAACUAGUAGUUUGGUUCUAAUGACUAGAACACAGUAAAGGUGAUGGGAUGACACUACUGAUAUUAGGUUACAGGUGACUAAGACUUGCAUAUAUUUGGAACCAUCUUUCUUGAACUCUUUCUUGCCCACUCACUUGCUGCUCCAAUGAAGCCAAUGUGAGCUGCCUGAUUUGGAAGAUGUCCAUUUGGUGAAAAAUCGAGGAAAACAUUGUGCCACAAGUUCAGGAGGAACGGAGACCCUCAGUUCAGCAAUCAGCAAGUAACUAUUUCUGG